rnacentral:rRNA from 1 species
UCGGACGGGUGAGUAACGCGUGGGUAACCUGCCUUGUACUGGGGGACAACAGUUGGAAACGACUGCUAAUACCGCAUAAGCGCACAGCUUCGCAUGAAGCAGUGUGAAAAACUCCGGUGGUACAAGAUGGACCCGCGUCUGAUUAGCUGGUUGGUGAGGUAACGGCCCACCAAGGCGACGAUCAGUAGCCGGCCUGAGAGGGUGAACGGCCACAUUGGGACUGAGACACGGCCCAA